rnacentral:rRNA from 1 species
UACGUAGGGUGCAAGCGUUGUCCGGAAUUAUUGGGCGUAAAGAGCUCGUAGGCGGCUGUUCAAGUCGAACGUGAAAACUCGGAGCUCAACUCCGAGCCUGCGUUCGAUACUGGACGGCUAGAGUCUGGUAGGGGGAUCUGGAAUUCCUGGUGUAGCGGUGGAAUGCGCAGAUACCAGGAGGAACACCGGUGGCGAAGGCGGUGAUCUGGGCCGACACUGACGCUGUAGAGCGAAAGCGUGGGGAGCGAACAGG